GUCUAUGGCCAUACCACCCUGAACGCACCCGAUCCCAUCUGAUCUCGGAAGCUAAGCAGGGUCGGGCCUGGUUAGUACUUGGAUGGGAGAAGCCAUCUGUACAGUCUUCGGUCACUAACU
rnacentral:rRNA from 1 species